GCAUCUCUUUCAAAGAUUUCUAGGUUUUUGUUCAUCACUAAAUUUUUUCUUCAUUAGCCCUUGUUUGUAUGCAAGUCACUGUUCAAUGUUAGACACCAAGGAACUAUUUAAAACAAACAAGAGACCUUAGGCCAGUUUUAGCACUAACCAGCAAAUCUUCUGCUAUCUUUUGGUUGAAUUUCCUUGAUUAUAAAAUGAGAAAAAUCGGGCUAUAUGACCUAGAUGGUUCUUAAAACUCUAGUAUUCUAUUAAGUAUAACUAAUUACCAUCAAAUUGCAUUGUAUUUGUUCCCGGUUUGGAAUUGAAACGUACUAAUUGCUCUCUACUCAGUUUCUCACUGAGCUAACUUUAAAUGUUCCUUUUAAGCAUUGUACUAUGAUAAUUUUGUUCUUCCUGUUGCUAGUGGUCAGUUGUGCCAGGAAAAUUUGACUGUCUCAAGAAUUAACCCAUGUAAAUGCUGUGUGGUUCCUUUCCUCUCACUCUUUUAAUAUCAGCUAGGCUUUAUCAUACUUUAUUUGGAAAGCUUGAGAAAGCAGCCAUUUCCCUGUAGCGCUACAGCUUAAUUUGACAAUUUGUAAACCAUUUGUUCUUUCUACUUUUUGUAAGGUUAUUUCCUUGGGAAACUAUUUGACGUAAAAUAACUAUUUUGCUGAAUUUUGUAAAAUAAAUAAUUUGCCAAAACA
rnacentral:sRNA from 1 species